GCGUGUUUGCAAGUGUUUUUUUUGUUUGUUGGUUGUUGUUGUUGUUGUUGUUUUAAUGUGUAGGCUGCUCAUUUGGAAACAUUAAACAUAAUUACAAUUUACCUGACUGUAAGGAUGUUUUUAUCAAUAUUGAUUGAAGCAGUUAUUCUUAGGCAUGUCUUAGAAAAUAUUGGUUGCUCUGCAAGUUGCUUUAAUUAGGUAAGUUUUUAAAUGGCAAUUACUGGAAAUUAUAUGAACCUAUGAAGCUGGAAACCAAAGUUUGGGCUCACGCUACUGUUAACAGGUUACAGUUACAUUAGACCUUUUUCUCAGUUAUCGUGAUACUUCUUUUGUUUCAUCUUUGUACCUUUCUAUCCUGCAUACAGUAAUUUUAAUUUCAUAAACUAUAGAAUGCACUUCUAAAUCUGAUAAAUUCUUAAAACAUAUAUUUAAUAUUUCAUAUUUUUAAAUUAUUUUUAGACAUGAACUUCAAAAGUAGUACUUUCCAAUAAUACUCUGCAUGCAUGCAUGAUUUGAUCAGCUUUUGAGCUUGGUGUAGUAGUAAGAUAGAAAUGUGGCAUGAAGUUGUUCAUUUUAUUUCCUUUGCUCAACUUACAAGUGCUGUAAGUUUAUUCUCUAUCUCCUAACUGCCAGCUCUAGUGCCUCCAAAUGGAAAAUCCAUGAUAUGAAAAAAUUAAAAGACAAACAAUUAUGAGACAGAUUUCUCCAAAACAAAGUUUAGUUCACUUAGAACAGGGUGACUCAACCUUCCCCGUUAGAAAGCUAGUUACCCUUUCACUGGGGAAUAAGAAAACACUGAAUCUACUUUUAUGCCAACUCCUGUAAUGUAGAAUUUUUCUUUUCUUACGGUUUUGUUUGUCGUACACAACUUCUCAACUUGUGAUUAAACAUGCAAACAUUACCUAUUUAUUGACUCAGCUAGAAUGGAAUCUGUUGGCCUACUAGUUAAGUGACAUUUUACAGCUGUGCUGAUGUCUUUGUUGUUCUGACUUGAAGUCCAAAGUGCAACAGAUUCAUCUGAUGCUAGUACUAGGAUUCAUCUGAUUUAUUUAUUUUUUUAUUAUAUCAUUUAUGUCUACAAAGACAUUGAAUGAAAUGGUACUCUAAAUCUCUGCAGACUGGAGAGUUCUGUGAAGAUUUUUCAUUCUUUAUGGAAACUAACAUAGGCCAAAUAAGAUCAUUAUCUUCAUAUUCCAAAUGAAUAAAAUCUUAAGAGAUUCCUUUACACUCUUUCAAGAAUGUUCAAUUGGUUUCUUUUACAUGUUAAAAAGCCAUAAAAUCCCGCACCUCAUUGGCACAUGGGUUCUUACAAAUGUUGUUAGAGAAAAAACUGAAGAUGUUUUACCAUGUUUUGGCUAGGCUGAGUUCAUAGGGACUGUUGAUGGAAACCUGUAUGUUUAGCAGAACUAUUAGUUAUUUUGCUAUCAGUAAAAUACAGCUGAAGUUACAAAACAACUGUUCAACUGCUAACAGGCAGCACCAGUAGUUCAGCCGCUGAUAGACAAGAAGUGAUGAGAGGCAUUAGUGAUUUAAUAUUGUCAGUGAUUUUGUUUUUUAUGGCAACAACAAACAAUUUCUUACUAAAAUCCACAGGGGCCUCAUGACUAACAGAAAGUAACCAGCCCUCAACUUUCCCAUACAAGGUCUACUAGUUAAAAAUAAAUAAAUGUGAGAUGAACAACUGACGCCUGCAUUGAAAUGUCUGAUCAAGUGGUCUGGAAUAAAGGUCAAGGAAAUAAAAGAUGAAAAAAAAAAGUUGCAUUAAUUAAUCACAGGAUGACUAAAUCUCCAGGAAAAAAAGUCCAGUGUCUAGGUAAUCUUAGAAUGUACCAGAAGAGGCAUUUUCAAUAGAAUGUAUUAAUGCUUUUGUACACAGCUCUGGGAGACCUAAUCCAAAAUGAAAAAUGUGUACAGUUCUCAUCCCCCUUCUUUAAGGAAAAUAAGGGGACUGGAAUAAAUGCUUUACCAAAUCUAGUGAAGCAAAUAUAAAGAUGUAAAAUUGUUUUCUUGAAGUAUAGCCAGAAUAAGCAUCAGUGAGGAACAAAGAGACAUACAAUAUGAAGAAUAAAGCAUGAAUUUAGACUGGAGAUAAAAAGUUUCUGACUCUCAAAAGAGUGAGUUUCUGAAACAAUCGAUGGGAACAAAAAGAAUGAAUUUGAUUCAGUUGCCUACACCUCAGUUAUACAGAUUUACUGAAUUUGGUAUUUGUGUAAUCUAAAUUGAAAGCAAGGAAGAGGUUAAAGAUGAAAAUUAAAGAAGGAAUGUGCCUCAGUAUUUUUCUGAACAGGCAUGCUUUAUUUUGUAGGAAUACAUUGAAAAGUUGUAUGUAUGUAUGCAGAGUUAGACACUAAGCCAGUAGCCAUUCAAUUUCUGGAAAUCCGAGCAAUGAUAUAAUUCAGAUAAUUAUUAUCAGUAGGCAAUGUUUAUUAAUCUACAUUCACGGAGCACCUUUUUUCUCAAAGAGUAUAUAAAGCCUCUUUUGACUUCACCAAACUAAUAGCCUGUGUGGACACUUUACUGUCCAAACUGAGUUUAAGAGAAGUUCUGGCCAAGAUACCAGCUUCUGUCCCCCUGUACAGACAACAAACACUCUGAGUCUGUGCAAUCUAUAAACUUUAGAAAUCAGUUUAUCUACUCUUGGUGCCUUUAUUUGACUCACUGUAACCUUGUCAUAUUGUUUUUGAGAUGAAAUAUGCAGAAUUAAUCACAAUAUUUAAGGGGAAGCUGUUUGACAAUAAAGAUGUAUAUUUUUCCACAUUUAUACCUCUGUCAUUCCUUAUAAAGUCUGAGAUCUUGUUUGCCUUAUUUAUUUAUUUAUUUAUUUAUUGUCAGCAGCUGAACGUGAGCAGGGGUUUUCACUAACCUUGAAGCCGAACCUUGCAAUGUGAAUAUAAGACUUGCAAACAUUUUUCCCUUUCUGUUUCACUCUGCAUUUGGAAAUGAUACAAAAGCAAUUGUUGCUUGUCUUGGUAUUCAGAUAACCCACAAAACUAGGAGGAUUUCAGCAUGGGCCAAAGUUACAUUUCUCUUUAAAACACUCAAUACAUAGUUUCUUAAUGAGUGUUUCUUGUGUGCUCUCUGUAUUGGCAAUGCUGUUGCUCUACAAUACCCCUCUGCUGUGCAAAAAAGGGAUUUCCAAAUCCUACUGUGAUGCUCCUACUGUGGGAGCAGAGGUAUGGCUGGCUCUUGGGGCCUUUCUGGUCAGAGCUUGAGGGCAAAGGGAUUGGAAACCUAAAGGACCUUUGUCAUUAAAGAUCUAAAGAUAAUGUAGAAAAUGGACACAGGGCUUUUCAAACUACAUAUGGUUCCAGGGCUUUUCAAACUGCAUAUGAUUCAUUGAAUAUGUGAAGCAAGUCAUAUUUUUAGAGAAUAAAUUGUUGGACAUAAGGAAGUAUGCAAGGAAAUGAACAGAUUCCACCUUCCAUCACUUCAGUGAGCUGAGCCACUCUCUCCUUCAGAACAGAGCUGAGAGUUUACUUACUACUGAGCCUGAUGAAAAUAAAUGGAAAAUCUAUUAA